AUUUUCUUCAUUUCUGACGCCUUGAU
rnacentral:sRNA from 1 species